rnacentral:rRNA from 1 species
AUUGAACGCUGGCGGCAGGCCUAACACAUGCAAGUCGAGCGAGCGGCGGACGGGUGAGUAAUGUCUGGGAAACUGCCUGAUGGAGGGGGAUAACUACUGGAAACGGUAGCUAAAACCGCACAUCACCUGAUGUGCCCAGAUGGGAUUAGCUAGUAGGUGGGGUAAAGGCCCACCAAGGCGACGAUCCCUAGCUGGUCUGAGAGGAUGACCAGCCACACUGGAACUGAGACACGGUCCAGACUCCUACGGGAGGCAGCAGUGGGGAAUAUUGCACAAUGGGCGCAAGCCUGAUGCAGCCAUGCCGCGUGUGUGAAGAAGGCCUUCGGGUUGUAAAGCACUUUCAGCGGGGAGGCGUUACCCGCAGAAGAAGCACCGGCUAACUCCGUGCCAGCAGCCGCGGUAAUUC